GACGAACGCUGGCGGCGUGCCUAAUACAUGCAAGUAGAACGCUGAAGGGAGGAGCUUGCUCUUCUUGGAUGAGUUGCGAACGGGUGAGUAACGCGUAGGUAACCUGCCUUGUAGCGGGGGAUAACUAUUGGAAACGAUAGCUAAUACCGCAUAACAAUGGAUGACACAUGUCAUUUAUUUGAAAGGGGCAAUUGCUCCACUACAAGAUGGACCUGCGUUGUAUUAGCUAGUAGGUGAGGUAAUGGCUCACCUAGGCGACGAUACAUAGCCGACCUGAGAGGAGGAUCAGGGAGACGGGAACGGAGAAAAGGUCCAGACGCGUACGGGAGGACGCAGUGGGGAAUAUUGGACAAUGGGGGAAAGCCUGAUCCAGCCAUGCCGCGUGUGGGAAGAAGGUCGUCGGAUGGUAAAGCACUUUAAGUUGGGAGGAAGGGCAGUAAGUUAAGACCUUGAUGUUUUGACGUUACCAACAGAAUAAGCACCGGCUAACUUCGUG
rnacentral:rRNA from 1 species